rnacentral:miRNA from 1 species
AACUGUUAAACGCCUAAGGU